AAACCCGGGCUAAUGCCGGAUGAGACCACGGCUGCUCCGGCAGCCGAGGCCAAAGGCGGCCUCUACACGUAAGCUGUCGCUACGGGAUGGGCCUGCGGCCCAUUAGCUAGUUGGUAGGGUAACGGCCUACCAAGGCUGUGAUGGGUAGCUGGUCUGAGAGGAUGAUCAGCCACACUGGGACUGAGACACGGCCCAGACUCCUACGGGAGGCAGCAGUGGGGGAAUAUUGCGCAAUGGGGGAAACCCUGACGCAGCGACGCCGCGUGGGUGAUGAAGGCCUUCGGGUCGUAAAGCCCUGUCGUAGGGGAAGAACUGGCAGGCGGCCAAUACCCGCCAGCCUUGACGGUACCCUACAAGAAAGCACCGGCUAACUCCGUGCCAGCAGCCGCGGUAA
rnacentral:rRNA from 1 species